UACGUAGGGUGCAAGCGUUUAAUCGGAAUUACUGGGCGUAAAGCGUGCGCAGGCGGUUUUGUAAGUCUGACGUGAAAUCCCCGGGCUCAACCUGGGAAUUGCGUUGGAGACUGCAAGGCUAGAAUCUGGCAGAGGGGGGUAGAAUUCCACGUGUAGCAGUGAAAUGCGUAGAUAUGUGGAGGAAUACCAAAGGCGAAGGCAGUGUCCUGGGGAGUGUCUGACGCUCAGGCGCGAAAGCUAGGGGAGCGAACAGG
rnacentral:rRNA from 1 species